AUCGAUGCAGGCCGGAACCUCCCGAGUAGCACCAGAUUGACUGAGGGGCAUCGACGUCGGGGGAAACCCUCCCGUAGAGCGGGAUAGAGCGAAAGACAAAGACCGGAAACAGCUAAAGCGCCUGCGGGCGCUUUAGCUUU
rnacentral:sRNA from 1 species